ACGCUGGCGGCGUGCCUAAUACAUGCAAGUCGAACGCACAGCGAAAGGUGCUUGCACCUUUCAAGUGAGUGGCGAACGGGUGAGUAACACGUGGACAACCUGCCUCAAGGCUGGGGAUAACAUUUGGAAACAGAUGCUAAUACCGAAUAAAACUUAGUGUCGCAUGACACAAAGUUAAAAGGCGCUUCGGCGUCACCUAGAGAUGGAUCCGCGGUGCAUUAGUUAGUUGGUGGGGUAAAGGCCUACCAAGACAAUGAUGCAUAGCCGAGUUGAGAGACUGAUCGGCCACAUUGGGACUGAGACACGGCCCAAACUCCUACGGGAGGCUGCAGUAGGGAAUCUUCCACAAUGGGCGAAAGCCUGAUGGAGCAACGCCGCGUGUGUGAUGAAGGCUUUCGGGUCGUAAAGCACUGUUGUAUGGGAAGAACAGCUAGAAUAGGAAAUGAUUUUAGUUUGACGGUACCAUACCAGAAAGGGACGGCUAAAUACGUGCCAGCAGCCGCGGUAAUACGUAUGUCCCGAGCGUUAUCCGGAUUUAUUGGGCGUAAAGCGAGCGCAGACGGUUUAUUAAGUCUGAUGUGAAAGCCCGGAGCUCAACUCCGGAAUGGCAUUGGAAACUGGUUAACUUGAGUGCAGUAGAGGUAAGUGGAACUCCAUGUGUAGCGGUGGAAUGCGUAGAUAUAUGGAAGAACACCAGUGGCGAAGGCGGCUUACUGGACUGCAACUGACGUUGAGGCUCGAAAGUGUGGGUAGCAAAC
rnacentral:rRNA from 1 species